rnacentral:rRNA from 1 species
AGAGUUUGAUCCUGGCUCAGGAUGAACGCCGGCGGUGUGCCUAAUACAUGCAAGUCGAACGCGUUGGCCCAACUGAUUGAACGUGCUUGCACGGACUUGACGUUGGUUUACCAGCGAGUGGCGGACGGGUGAGUAACACGUAGGUAACCUGCCCCAAAGCGGGGGAUAACAUUUGGAAACAGAUGCUAAUACCGCAUAACAAUUUGAAUCGCAUGAUUCAAAUUUAAAAGAUGGCUUCGGCUAUCACUUUGGGAUGGACCUGCGGCGCAUUAGCUUGUUGGUAGGGUAACGGCCUACCAAGGCUGUGAUGCGUAGCCGAGUUGAGAGACUGAUCGGCCACAAUGGAACUGAGACACGGUCCAUACUCCUACGGGAGGCAGCAGUAGGGAAUCUUCCACAAUGGGCGCAAGCCUGAUGGAGCAACACCGCGUGAGUGAAGAAGGGUUUCGGCUCGUAAAGCUCUGUUGUUAGAGAAGAACGUGCGUGAGAGCAACUGUUCACGCAGUGACGGUAUCUAACCAGAAAGUCACGGCUAACUACGUGCCAGCAGCCGCGGUAAUACGUAGGUGGCAAGCGUUAUCCGGAUUUAUUGGGCGUAAAGCGAGCGCAGGCGGUUUGAUAAGUCUGAUGUGAAAGCCUUUGGCUUAACCAAAGAAGUGCAUCGGAAACUGUCAGACUUGAGUGCAGAAGAGGACAGUGGAACUCCAUGUGUAGCGGUGGAAUGCGUAGAUAUAUGGAAGAACACCAGUGGCGAAGGCGGCUCUCUGGUCUGCAACUGACGCUGAGGCUCGAAAGCAUGGGUAGCGAACAGGAUUAGAUACCCUGGUAGUCCAUGCCGUAAACGAUGAGUGCUA